rnacentral:rRNA from 1 species
UACGUAGGGAGCAAGCGUUGUCCGGAAUCAUUGGGCGUAAAGGGCGCGUAGGCGGCCACCGCAAGUCGGUUGUGAAAUCUCUGGGCUUAACCCCAGAAAGGUCAACCGAUACUGCGGGGCUAGAGUGCAGAAGGGGCAACUGGAAUUCUCGGUGUAGCGGUGAAAUGCGUAGAUAUCGAGAGGAACACCUGCGGCGAAGGCGGGUUGCUGGGCCGAUACUGACGCUGAGGAGCGAAAGCGUGGGGAGCAAACAGG